rnacentral:rRNA from 1 species
AGUGGGGAAUCUUGGACAAUGGGCGCAAGCCUGAUCCAGCCAUGCCGCGUGAGUGAAGAAGGCCUUAGGGUUGUAAAGCUCUUUUGCCAGGGACGAUAAUGACGGUACCUGGAGAAUAAGCCCCGGCAAACUUCGUGCCAGCAGCCGCGGUAAUACGAAGGGGGCUAGCGUUGUUCGGAUUUACUGGGCGUAAAGCGCACGUAGGCGGAUUGUUAAGUCAGGGGUGAAAUCCCGGAGCUCAACUCCGGAACUGCCUUUGAUACUGGCAACCUAGAGGCUGGAAGAGGUUAGUGGAAUUCCCAGUGUAGAGGUGAAAUUCGUAGAUAUUGGGAAGAACACCAGUGGCGAAGGCGGCUAACUGGUCCAGUACUGACGCUGAGGUGCGAAAGCGUGGGGAGCAAA